GGGUUUACCCAUUGGUCAGGCUUAAUUGUCUGCACUGGUGAGAUAAAUCUCUACCUUCUGAGGAACUUUCAUGUCAUUAGUUUGGUGUGAUUGGAAAUCAGGACUGUUACUUUGAAAAAAUUAGAGUGUUUAAAGCAAGCUAACGCUUGAAUACAUUAGCAUGGAAUAAUGAAAUAGGACGUUCGAUCCUAUUUUGUUGGUUUCUAGGAUUGACGUA
rnacentral:rRNA from 1 species